rnacentral:rRNA from 1 species
GGGUUGUGAGGUUAAGCGACUAAGCGUACACGGUGGAUGCCCUGGCAGUCAGAGGCGAUGAAGGACGUGCUAAUCUGCGAUAAGCGUCGGUAAGGUGAUAUGAACCGUUAUAACCGGCGAUUUCCGAAUGGGGAAACCCAGUGUGUUUCGACACACUAUCAUUAACUGAAUCCAUAGGUUAAUGAGGCGAACCGGGGGAACUGAAACAUCUAAGUACCCCGAGGAAAAGAAAUCAACCGAGAUUCCCCCAGUAGCGGCGAGCGAACGGGGAGGAGCCCAGAGCCUGAAUCAGUGUGUGUGUUAGUGGAAGCGUCUGGAAAGGCGCGCGAUACAGGGUGACAGCCCCGUACACAAAAAUGCACAUGCUGUGAGCUCGAUGAGUAGGGCGGGACACGUGGUAUCCUGUCUGAAUAUGGGGGGACCAUCCUCCAAGGCUAAAUACUCCUGACUGACCGAUAGUGAACCAGUACCGUGAGGGAAAGGCGAAAAGAACCCCGGCGAGGGGAGUGAAAAAGAACCUGAAACCGUGUACGUACAAGCAGUGGGAGCCUCUUUUAUGGGGUGACUGCGUACCUUUUGUAUAAUGGGUCAGCGACUUAUAUUCUGUAGCAAGGUUAACCGAAUAGGGGAGCCGAAGGGAAACCGAGUCUUAACUGGGCGUUAAGUUGCAGGGUAUAGACCCGAAACCCGGUGAUCUAGCCAUGGGCAGGUUGAAGGUUGGGUAACACUAACUGGAGGACCGAACCGACUAAUGUUGAAAAAUUAGCGGAUGACUUGUGGCUGGGGGUGAAAGGCCAAUCAAACCGGGAGAUAGCUGGUUCUCCCCGAAAGCUAUUUAGGUAGCGCCUCGUGAAUUCAUCUCCGGGGGUAGAGCACUGUUUCGGCAAGGGGGUCAUCCCGACUUACCAACCCGAUGCAAACUGCGAAUACCGGAGAAUGUUAUCACGGGAGACACACGGCGGGUGCUAACGUCCGUCGUGAAGAGGGAAACAACCCAGACCGCCAGCUAAGGUCCCAAAGUCAUGGUUAAGUGGGAAACGAUGUGGGAAGGCCCAGACAGCCAGGAUGUUGGCUUAGAAGCAGCCAUCAUUUAAAGAAAGCGUAAUAGCUCACUGGUCGAGUCGGCCUGCGCGGAAGAUGUAACGGGGCUAAACCAUGCACCGAAGCUGCGGCAGCGACACUGUGUGUUGUUGGGUAGGGGAGCGUUCUGUAAGCCUGUGAAGGUGUACUGUGAGGUAUGCUGGAGGUAUCAGAAGUGCGAAUGCUGACAUAAGUAACGAUAAAGCGGGUGAAAAGCCCGCUCGCCGGAAGACCAAGGGUUCCUGUCCAACGUUAAUCGGGGCAGGGUGAGUCGACCCCUAAGGCGAGGCCGAAAGGCGUAGUCGAUGGGAAACAGGUUAAUAUUCCUGUACUUGGUGUUACUGCGAAGGGGGGACGGAGAAGGCUAUGUUGGCCGGGCGACGGUUGUCCCGGUUUAAGCGUGUAGGCUGGUUUUCCAGGCAAAUCCGGAAAAUCAAGGCUGAGGCGUGAUGACGAGGCACUACGGUGCUGAAGCAACAAAUGCCCUGCUUCCAGGAAAAGCCUCUAAGCAUCAGGUAACAUCAAAUCGUACCCCAAACCGACACAGGUGGUCAGGUAGAGAAUACCAAGGCGCUUGAGAGAACUCGGGUGAAGGAACUAGGCAAAAUGGUGCCGUAACUUCGGGAGAAGGCACGCUGAUAUGUAGGUGAAGCGACUUGCUCGUGGAGCUGAAAUCAGUCGAAGAUACCAGCUGGCUGCAACUGUUUAUUAAAAACACAGCACUGUGCAAACACGAAAGUGGACGUAUACGGUGUGACGCCUGCCCGGUGCCGGAAGGUUAAUUGAUGGGGUUAGCGCAAGCGAAGCUCUUGAUCGAAGCCCCGGUAAACGGCGGCCGUAACUAUAACGGUCCUAAGGUAGCGAAAUUCCUUGUCGGGUAAGUUCCGACCUGCACGAAUGGCGUAAUGAUGGCCAGGCUGUCUCCACCCGAGACUCAGUGAAAUUGAACUCGCUGUGAAGAUGCAGUGUACCCGCGGCAAGACGGAAAGACCCCGUGAACCUUUACUAUAGCUUGACACUGAACAUUGAGCCUUGAUGUGUAGGAUAGGUGGGAGGCUUUGAAGUGUGGACGCCAGUCUGCAUGGAGCCGACCUUGAAAUACCACCCUUUAAUGUUUGAUGUUCUAACGUGGACCCGUGAUCCGGGUUGCGGACAGUGUCUGGUGGGUAGUUUGACUGGGGCGGUCUCCUCCUAAAGAGUAACGGAGGAGCACGAAGGUUGGCUAAUCCUGGUCGGACAUCAGGAGGUUAGUGCAAUGGCAUAAGCCAGCUUGACUGCGAGCGUGACGGCGCGAGCAGGUGCGAAAGCAGGUCAUAGUGAUCCGGUGGUUCUGAAUGGAAGGGCCAUCGCUCAACGGAUAAAAGGUACUCCGGGGAUAACAGGCUGAUACCGCCCAAGAGUUCAUAUCGACGGCGGUGUUUGGCACCUCGAUGUCGGCUCAUCACAUCCUGGGGCUGAAGUAGGUCCCAAGGGUAUGGCUGUUCGCCAUUUAAAGUGGUACGCGAGCUGGGUUUAGAACGUCGUGAGACAGUUCGGUCCCUAUCUGCCGUGGGCGCUGGAGAACUGAGGGGGGCUGCUCCUAGUACGAGAGGACCGGAGUGGACGCAUCACUGGUGUUCGGGUUGUCAUGCCAAUGGCACUGCCCGGUAGCUAAAUGCGGAAGAGAUAAGUGCUGAAAGCAUCUAAGCACGAAACUUGCCCCGAGAUGAGUUCUCCCUGACUCCUUGAGAGUCCUGAAGGAACGUUGAAGACGACGACGUUGAUAGGCCGGGUGUGUAAGCGCAGCGAUGCGUUGAGCUAACCGGUACUAAUGAACCGUGAGGCUUAACCUUACAACGCCGAAGCUGUU